rnacentral:rRNA from 1 species
GACGUGGGGUGAUCUGCCCUGCACUUCGGGAUAAGCUUGGGAAACUGGGUCUAAUACCGGAUAGGAGCCAUCUUUAGUGUGGUGGUUGGAAAGUUUUUCGGUGUAGGAUGAGCUCGCGGCCUAUCAGCUUGUUGGUGGGGUAAUGGCCUACCAAGGCGGCGACGGGUAGCCGGCCUGAGAGGGUGUACGGCCACAUUGUGACUGAGAUACGGCCCAG